rnacentral:tRNA from 1 species
GCCCGGGUGGCGGAAUUGGCAGACGCGCCGGACUUAAAAUCCGGUGGCCUUAUGGCCGUGCGGGUUCGAAUCCCGCCCCGGGCACCA